UGGCGCACGGGUGCGCAACGCGUGGGAAUCUGCCCUUGGGUUCGGAAUAACUUCGGGAAACUGAAGCUAAUACCGGAUGAUGACGUAAGUCUAAAGAUUUAUCGCCUGAGGAUGAGCCCGCGUAAGAUUAGCUAGUUGGUGGGGUAAAGGCCUACCAAGGCGACGAUCUUUAGCUGGUCUGAGAGGAUGAUCAGCCACACUGGGACUGAGACACGGCCCAG
rnacentral:rRNA from 1 species